rnacentral:rRNA from 1 species
AUAACUGUGGUAAUUCUAGAGCUNAUNCAUGCAACAAAGCUCCGACCUCGGGACGGGACGAGCGCUUUUAUUAGACCAAGACCAAUCGGACUUCGGUCCGNNNAUGAUGGUGACUCNNGAUAACUUUUGCUGAUCGCACGGUCUAGCACCGGCGACGCAUCUUUCAAGUGUCUGCCUUAUCAACUGUCGAUGGUAGGUUAUGCGCCUACCAUNGUCGURACGGGUAACGGGGAAUCAGGGUUCGAUUCCGGAGAGGGAGCCUGAGAAACGGCUACCACAUCCAAGGAAGGCAGCAGGCGCGCNMAUUACCCACUCCCAGAACGGGGAGGUAGUGACGAAAAAUAACGAUACGGGACUCUAUCGAGGCCCCGUGAUUGGAAUGAGUACACUCUAAAUCCUUU